UACGGAGGGGCUAGCGUUGUUCGGAAUUACUGGGCGUAAAGCGCACGUAGGCGGCUUUGUAAGUUAGAGGUGAAAGCCCAGGGCUUAACCCUGGAAUUGCCUUUAAGACUGCAUCGCUAGAAUUGUGGAGAGGUAAGUGGAAUUCCGAGUGUAGAGGUGAAAUUCGUAGAUAUUCGGAAGAACACCAGUGGCGAAGGCGACUUACUGGACACAUAUUGACGCUGAGGUGCGAAAGCGUGGGGAG
rnacentral:rRNA from 1 species